UACGUAGGGUGCAAGCGUUAAUCGGAAUUACUGGGCGUAAAGCGUACGCAGGCGGCUUUGCAAGACAGGUGUGAAAUCCCCGGGCCUAACCUGGGAACUGCAUUUGUGACUGCAUGGCUAGAGUUUGUCAGAGGGGGGUGGAAUUCCACGUGUAGCAGUGAAAUGCGUAGAUAUGUGGAGGAACACCGAUGGCGAAGGCAGCCCCCUGGGAUGUGACUGACGCUCAUGUACGAAAGCAUGGGGAGCAAACAGG
rnacentral:rRNA from 1 species